ACUUUAUUGUGGGGGCGAAACGCUCAGUAACACGUCAAUAAUCUGCCCUUAGGUGGAAGAUAACCUCGGGAAACUGAGGCUAAUACUCCAUAUAUGAUAAAAAUUGGAAUAUUUUAUCAUUGAAACUUUUGGCCUAAGGAUGAGUUGGCGGUCGAUUAGGUUGUUGGCGGUGUAAUGGACCACCAAGCCUAUGAUCGGUACGGGCCUUGAGAGAGGUAGCCCGGAGAGGGACACUGAGGAACUGGUCCCAACCCUACGGGGUGCAGCAGGCGCGAAACCUUUACAAUGCACGAAAGUGUGAUAAGGGAAUCCUAAGUGCUUACGUAUUGCGUAGGCUUUUUUUAAGAGUAAAUAUCUUAGAGAAUAAGUGGUGGGAAAGACUGGUGCCAGCCGCCGCGGUAACACCAGCGCCACAAGUGGCAACCGCGUUUAUUGGGCCUAAAGCGUUCGUAGCAGGAAUUUUAAGUCUUUUGUGAAAUCGUCAUGCUUAACAUGACGUCGUGCAGAAGAUACUGGAAUUCUAGAGACCGGAAGGAGUUAGAAGUAUUCUGGGGGGAGCGGUAAAAUGCUAUAAUCCUCGGAGGACUACCUGUGGCGAAGGCGUCUAACUAGGACGGAUCUGACUGUGAGGAACGAAAGCCAGGGGAGCGAACCGGAUUAGAUACCCGAGUAGUCCUGGCCGUAAACGCUGCGAGCUAGGUAUAGUGUAUUCUACAUGAAUAUGCUGUGUCGAAGCGAAGGUGAUAAGCUCGCCGCCUGGGAAGUACGGUCGCAAGAUUGAAACUUUAAGGAAUUGGCGGGGGAGCACAACAAGGGGUGGAGCGUGCGGUUUAAUCUAACUCAACACAGAGAAUCUCACUAGAGGCGACAGUAGAAUGAAGGUCAACUUAAAGAGUUUACCUGACGCGCUGAGAGGUGGUGCAUGGCCGCCGUCAGCUCGUGCCGUAAGGUGUCCAGUUAAGUCUGGUAACGAGCGAGACCUGUGUCUGCUAUUGCUAACAACUCUUUUGAGGAUUGAGCACAUUGCAGGGACUGCCCUGGAAACAGGGAGGAAGGUGCAGGCAACGGUAGGUCUGUAUGCCCCGAAUCCUCUAGGCUACACGCGCGCAACAAUGGUUGGGACAAUAGGUUGCAACUCUGAAAAGAGAAGCCAAUCCUCGAAACCCAAUCUAAGUUCAGAUUGAGCUUUGUAACUCAAGCUCAUGACGCCGGAAUCCCUAGUA
rnacentral:rRNA from 1 species